AUCUGCUCAUCUCCUUAGGCAGGACUCCAAUACCCAAAUACAGAGCAGAUACACUUGCGUAUCUUGUGAAGAAAAGCUUUAAGAAGACAAAGGUGUUGAUUCUGAUUUGCCUGUUUUCACCUCCUCAGUGUGCCUGCCUGUCACUUCGUUCCCUAAUGUGAUCUUUUUGGAGGGGCUUAGACCUAACUUUCAGAUGACUGUAUUUCUAUUACUCAACAGUUUAAUAUUUUCAUCUAUGGAGCUGGUUCUUAAAAAUGAGAUGAAUGCAAGUGCAGAAGCCGUGAAAGAACCACAGGAAAUUUGUACCACAUUUGCUUGAAGCAUUUGCAAAACCACUAUGAAGAGGGUCUAAACCAAACACUGUAAGUCUCAUUGUGUUCCACAGCAAUCGGCAGAACCCACAGUGAGGAUUAAGUCCUUUUCUUCAUACCACUGAGGAGCCAGAACUCUGAUUCCACAGGCCUUUGCAAAUUGCCUGUACCAUUGAAGAGCAGGGGAUGGAACGCAUUAAGAAAAGAACCCCGAGAGGAACUUCAAGGUGUUAUUCCAAGCUCUCCGGCUGUCUCAGUGUAAUCUAUCGCAAACAAAGCACUGCUGUGAGACAUGAUGACUCUUCAAACCGUCCUGUGAAAGGAGCCAAUGUAAAUGAACACAGUGGGCCAAACUCAAAGUUUCUGCAUGAAAUCUGGCAAGAAAACCCCUCAGGUAUGGUUGAAGAUAUUGCACAAUCUUUCUGUCAAAUGUAAGUCCAAUCACAUUCGGAUACGUUUUUAAAGUAAUAGUCAGGAUGAUUUAGAUUAAAAUUGUCCUUUGGUGAACUGCAAACUAUUUAUGCUAUUUUGUACCUUGUUUUCUUUCACAUAGCCAAUGAGGAUGAUGGGAAAUUGUGAAAUAGUCCCAGAUCAGGGAAAGGUAGGACAGUUUCUGGAAUGAUUUUGUGUAAAUCUAAGUUGUAGCUAGCAACAGACUGGAACUGAUUUGCAGUGCCUUCUGUAGUUUAUUACAGACAUUGGUGGUCACAGGCAGCGUUGUGUCUUUUGCUCAGAGCUGCCUGCAUCCCCUAUGCAGCAUUUUCUAUCAUGCCUGGAGUACUAGUUCUUCAAGACAUGACUUAGGAGCUUCUGGAAGUUUUGGGGGCAAUGGGUCAGUCAUCUGAUUUUAUUUAGGACAUCAGUGGUCUGCCUGAUUUUUUUCUUAAAGAACACUCAGAAUUAAAGAAAGAAAAAGUCCAUUCUUUAGUAUGAUCCUAAAAUACCUUUUGAUAGAAAUUAUUGGGUUUCAUUUAGAAAUAUCAGGCUGGCAGCUGCUACUUUUGAGGCAUCUGUAGAGAUUUGGGAUAGAUGUGUGUCAACCAAAACUGGAAGUGGCAUGGAGGAAGAUGCUUGGUGCCAGUCAGCCCGGUGGGGCAGGACAAUGGACAUAUUGAUGCAGAGGACAUCAGAGAUGCCAGCUCCUGUCCAGAGCCCUCCUCCACCCAUUGCCUGUUCCCUGGAGAUGAGCAUGAGCUUAACGGAAAUUCAUUUAUCAUGAGAAGGAGAGAGCAAGCCAGCUGGGAGCUAGGAAAAGGGAAAUGUCCCCUGACCACAUAGUGGGACAGUACCAGGGUCAGGCACUCUUUUGUCCCAGAGCUGACCCAACCCACACUCAUGACGUCCACCCCAGCCCUGCCACUUCUGCACUUCAGUAUCCCCUCCUACUCUCCCUGGCCCUUAGGAACUGAGCCCAUUGCUCCUCCGCAGCAGCUGGACGGUGUCCCAGGACCUUUCGGACAUCCCUGCUCCUCCAUGGUGACACCCGCCGCAGGGAGAAAAGUCAUCAGAGUUGAAGAGUCAGCAUCCACUGCGCUGAGUGUUUGAUUUCUUUUACAGCAGUGCUCAUUCCCAUGGCUUCAGUUUGCUCCCGUGGCCCGAAAUAGCUGUGAGGCCACGCACAUAGUGUACAUGGCGAAAUGGCACCUCAUCCUCAAGUACCCAGAAUGGGAUGCUUUUCUGAAGAAUAAGGGUGCUUGAGACAUGGCUGCAAAGCUGUGACAGCUGUCCGUGCUCUGUAGCCAGAGGUUAAGCCAGUUUUGUGCUUCCAACUGAGGAUUUUUACUGAACUUUGAGGUAGAAAAAGAAGCUUUUGUGCAGGAGACCCAUGAUGACAUUUGUUAAUGUCCAAUGUGUGACCAAGAAGCCCUCUGGAAGCUGUCAUCUUCCUCCCUACAAAGGCUGUUGCCAACUGGUUAAUUUUCAUUAGUCCAGAUUUCAGAGCCUAUGGUCUGUUAUCUGUUUGUUGGACUGUGGAUGAAAAAUCUGGGUUGUUUACAAACUGCUGGACAUGCAUGCAGUGCCUCAUCUAAACACAGAAACCACAGUACAUCAAAUCUCUCAAGGCCAUUCACUUGCCCUUUGGAGGCAUUUAUUGCAUCUUCUCAUUUCUCUCUGUUUCCUUCCUCUUAUAAUUUGGACUCAAAUAUUUGCUUUGAUACAAAUAUUUAAAGACACUUAGUUCUGCUGAAGUCUGAGAGCAGCAAAAUCAACAAAUGAGGGAAAAGCCUGAAGUGAAUGAAAGAACAAAAACUCACAUAAAACAGCCAAGAGAUAAUCACAACUGACUGUUUUCUGCAGAAAGCAAUGUUUCACCUUAUAAAAAACAAAAGACAGUUGCAAAUUUCCUUGCUGCUUUCAAGAUAAGAAGAAAAUUACAAAUACUUCACAGAAUAAUAAUAAUAGAAUUAGGCAGUUAUCAAGGGCAUAUCAUCAGAAAUUAUCAAGAAAACACAUUUAGAGGGACAGGAGUUCAAGAAAGCUUUUUGCAAAAUAAAAUGGCAAUGUUAUUAAUUAUAAGUUGUGGU
rnacentral:lncRNA from 1 species